ensembl:lncRNA
CUCGGAGGCAGUCGAAUCUGUGGCUAGCUUCCUAACAGGUACAAAACAGGAGUGGUUUCUCAUUUCUCUGAAACGACAUCAGGCUUGUGUUCUGGAUAAAGUUGCCAAGUGGGCGGGCCUAGGUAUAAAAUAACGAGGCAGAGAUUUGAGGCCAACGUUAGAACCUACUGAGCACUCAGAACAGUGCUACUCCUUCAGACGACUCCAGAGAUGACGCCAGUGUCCAGGGUGGAAGUUCCUUGCAGCAACUGACUGGACGGUCAGUUUGCCACGGAGCGCUCUGUCACUACGCAAACCUGCUGCGCCCCAUCUCCAAUGCUGUUCUGUGGAGGAGCGGAGCAGGAAGAGAGUGGAAGGAAAGCAGCUUCCAGGUACUUAUCUGACAAACUAGAUGCUACCACCGGAAAUGUCCGGACAAAAUACCAAGGACAGUUAGCAUCUUUUUAGGGACCCAGCUGGGAUCUUUCGUGUGUUAUUCCCAGAAGUGUGGUAAAUUCAGGAGAAACUGCGGUACCAUGGUACAUGUUUGGGGCUUGAAAGGCAUCCUCUGCUUUGUGUUCCCGACCCCUCCCCUCUCCCGCCCCUUCACUGAUCCAUCGGUUUAAUCAACUGAUCUAUUUACACAACAUCAUUUGUACUACCUCAUUUUUUUUCUCAGAGUCUGGAAGUUUGGUAUGUGCUAGGCUGAAGGAACAAGCUUCGGAUGUAGACUUGGGCAUGGAGGCUCUAAUAAGUGUCCAUGGUAGACGCCACUCCCUGCCUGUUGUCACAUGAUUUCUGGAAGAAUUGUCUGCUGGGAAAAGGCUCUUGGAUGUCUGUCUGCCUUUCCCCCGCACUUCACCUGCUGUAUCUUUUUAGCCUGAACUGAUCUCACUUGUGCCUGUUUGCUUUUGUGGUUUUAGCAGGAAGUCACCACCAUGAGUGCAAUUAUGUGCUGAUUUCUGUGAAUUCUUCCAGCCAGGCAGUCAUCAGAUUCGGAGCUGCUCCUUUCUCACCGUCCUUUACACUUACAAUCAAGCAGCUGAUAAGUUCCCCUUUAACCCGGUUUUCAGGAGUUUAUUGAACAGGCUUCAGAACAAAGAAUACCAAGGUGAAUAGAGACAAAGGAACUACAGAGAUGUGGAUAACAACAUGUACUGCUCAUGCAGAGAACCUGAACUCCGUUCCCAGCACCCACGUCCCUCACGACCACCUCCACCUCCAUCUUCAAAGUCUCUGUAGAUACCCGUACUCAUGUGCACGUACACAGAGGUCAAAGGGAACUUGCCGGGGAAUGAAGAGCAAUGCCCUGAAUUCCAACUGCCCUUCUACAGAGAAGUGCUUGACUGCCAAGUGGUCUUCCCAGUCAUUGGUGAAGGAUCACUUUGGUACCCCGGCCAAUGGGCUCACCAUGGUCUGAACGAAUGGGGAAGGAUUCACCAGCAGAAGACUCCCAAGACACCAAACUACCCAAUCAUGGAGAUGUCUGCACCAGCCUGGAGAGCCUCCCUGAACACCUUUGUACCAGACUUAGCAAUGGUUCCCAAGUUAUUUAUGAGGUGCCUGCAGAGGUCAGAAGAUCCCACUGAGCUGGAGUUAAUGAAGUUUGAGAACUGGCCAACAUGGGAGCUAGGAACUGAACCCGGGUCCUCUGGAAGAACAACAAAUGCUCUUAAUUCCUGAGCCACCUUUACAGCCUCCAAAUACUCCUUUUUCAUGGUUUGCUGGAGUCCAGCUGACGGCUCCAACAAACCUACACGAUAUUGAUGUGUUCGCUCACAGUUCUUUAUCUAAGAAUGCCAAACCUGAGAGACUGCCUUGGACUUCUGUGGUAGGCGACAAGUCCUCUCUAAGAACAAGAGUGUUAGGAAGAAGGGAUGUGAACAUCACUCCCAAAACUCCAGGGAAAGUCGGACCAACAUGACAGUGAAAAUUAUAAAGCAAAAUGUACCGGAAAUGGAAGAACUUCCAGGCCCGCUGGUGGACACCUGUAAUCCCAAUGUCUGAGCUGCAAAGGGAGCAAGAGCUCAAGGAUCUCAAAUUUGAAGGCAGACUAGAUCAAAAAGAGGCUGAAAUAGAGUUCUUCCAGUAUCGACUCCAUUCUGCAGACAGAUCAGUACUAACUUCAUUCAACAGAUACAUGGAGACUCUGAAGUCCCUUUCAGUAAACAGCAUUCAUGAUAUAUACGCAAAAUCAAUCAGGCAUUUGGCCAAAAAGAAAAGCUCAACACACUGAAGCUGGAAGGAAGAAUGUGUAGUUGUUUCCAGUUUGUCUACUUUAAUCAUACAUAGAAAAAGAAAAGGUAUAAUGUAUGCUUUAACAUUUGCAAAUUUAUCAUAUAAAUCAGAAAGACUGAAAAAGGUAACAUCGCAUUCCGGAGAACACCCUGGAGUAGAACAAAAUGAACUGCACUCAAAGCGAACGCACAGCUUUCUUUAAAUAAACUAGGAAGAAUUAAUCGCAAUAAAAGAUGAAAAUAAGUACAUUAAAAAUAAAAAGCCAAAACAAAGCAGAAAGGAAAAAUUAAUUUAGAGACCAUUUUUCUUUUUUGAGACCAAUAAAGCAGAUAAACUCCCUAUGAACCCAAUUAAAGAGAGAAUGCACACACGCGAGGCACUUUUUAAAAAAUAAACAGGCUUAGAACUGAAGAAAUAGACUCGGAGAUCCAGGAGAGUUCCAAAGACUUACAAGGUAUGAGGCUUCCAGUUCAUUGGCUGCAAAUUGGAACACACAGAGGAAGUGAACAAUUUCCUAACAAAAUAUAAAUUACUUAAAUUGCCAAUCACUGAAGACAUCUGCAUGAUGAUUAAGAAUGAUUCUUGGAAAAAGGAACAAAGACCAGAUGGGUUUAAUCUUUAAAAAACAGAUGAUUCCAGUGUGAUUUAAAUAUUUCCAGGCCAUGGGGGAAAAAUAUCUCCUCAAGUCAUUGUGCAAAGACAGAUUAAUUUUGAUUCCAGAGUGUGAUGUGGACAUAAAAGAAUAUGUAAGAUCCAUCUCGCUUAAGAAUACAGACGUAAAAAAUUUUAACUAAGAUGCUAAAAAUAACAUGUUGUUGUAUCUUUGACUCAUAUCAGACACACGGCCCUAGUCUAACUGAAGAUUUC